rnacentral:rRNA from 1 species
GGUAGCAUAAUCAUUAGUCUUUUAAUUGGAGACUGGUAUGAAUGGCUAAACGAGAGAUCAACUUUUUUUACCGUAAAAAUUGAAUUUAACUUUUUAGUGAAAAGGCUAAAAUUUUUCAGAAAGACGAGAAGACCCUAUAGAGUUUUAUAAAGGACUAAUACUUUUUAUUUGGAUUUUUAUAAAAAAUAUUAAUAAAUUUAUUUUGUUGGGGCGACAUUUAGAUAAAAAAAACUCUUUAUAAGAAAAAUUUUUAUGAAAAUAUGGAUUGAUCCUUUAAAAAAGAUCAUAAGAAAAAAUUACCUUAGGGAUAACAGCGUAAUCUUUUUUGAGAGUACUAAUCGACAAGAAGGUUUGCGACCUCGAUGUUGGACUAAAAUUAGGGCAGGGU